rnacentral:rRNA from 1 species
AGAAAUAACAAUACAAGGCAAUUAAAAUGCUUUGUAAUUGGAAUGAUAGAAAUUUAAACCCUUUUUAAAGUAUCAAUUGGAGGGCAAGUCUGGUGCCAGCAGCCGCGGUAAUUCCAGCUCCAAUAGCGUAUAUUAAAAUUGUUGCAGUUAAAAAGCUCGUAGUUGAAGUUCUGCUAAAAGUAACCGGUCUGCUUUUAAUAAAAGUGGUAUCUUGGUGUGUAUUUAGCAAUGAUGUCCUUUGAAGUGUUUUUUACUUUAUUGUAAUAAAGCAUAUUCAGGACUUUUACUUUGAGAAAAUUAGAGUGUUUCUAGCAGGCCAACGCUUUGAAUACUGCAGCAUGGAAUAAUAAGAUAGGAUUUUAGUUCUACAUUAUUGGUUUUAAGAGCUAAAUUAAUGAUUGAUAGGGACAGUUGGGGGCAUUUGUAUUUAACUGUCAGAGGUGAAAUUCUUAGAUUUGUUAAAGACAAAC